CACCCCCUCUUCUUUGACAGUCAUUCUCCCGCUAUUCCUCUUCUUCUUCUUCUUCUUUUUUGUGUGUGUUUUCUCUUUUAGCGAGGCUCGCUGCAGUGAGUCUCAAGCGCGCCAGCCCUAUGGAUGGCGAUAUCAUGCGAGUCCGCAGAUCAACUCCAACUUUCUUCUUUUUCUAAAUACGAAGCCGUCACUUUCUCACUUGAUCAAUAACAAAUGGGCUGUUGUAUGCCAGGGAAGGGCUUGCCAGAUACCGACAGGAGAACAGAAAAAAAGAAAAAGGCGCUCCGCGGUCUUUUGCUCUGUUCUUUUUUCUUCUUCUUCUUCUUCUUCUUCUUCUUCUUCUUCUUCUUCUUCUCCUCCUCUCGGCGGUUAUUGUUUCUCUGAGCGCGAAACUUGUCGUUUCGAGCGCCGCGCCGCACAAACAGCCGACCGACCCUCCGCGAGCCUCCUGCGCCCCGCGUUAAAAAAAAAAUCGCGCCGGGAGCUGAAUGGCGGACGAGUUUGAGAAGGGAUUUUACCAUUUCGCACGCCGACUCUCUAACGCCAGACGCACGUUGUGUUGACGUAAUGCAUGGAUGGAGGGACUCAGGAAAACUACCAGCUCAAGGUAAAGGAAAGCUGUGGAAAGGAGACAGCCUUGCAUGGUGUGUCAGCAUCCUAUAUAGGCCUCCUCUGUAAUGAGUCUGGGAUAAGACGUCAACUGUGGGGAAGUAGGAGGAGAUCACGGAGGCAGGAUAGGAGCAGGUGAUGGCGACCGCGUCUACUUUUCAUCGCCCAAUAACAAAGGAGAGCCCCCAGGACCUCCUCUUCUCCUCCUUCUUUGAGGGAGGGUAUCUGUCUUGUUGAGCAUCUGACACACUGCCCUGGGUGAUUGAGCCAGACGUGGAAAGCCAAAGCGGAGAUGCUCCCCUUAAUGCCUGACACCUGGUGCAGAUUUGGAGGGGAUUCCAGCACAGUCCACUUUGCCACCCGACUCUUCUGGCCCGCGCUGGAGCCACUCUGCACGGGGGAUUAGGGCUGGAUGGGGAUCCAGAUCAGUAACGUGCUCGUUUUCUUGAGAUCACUUCCAAGACAUCAAAAGGGUAUUGAAAAGGCCUCAGCCCGCUUGGUUCCUGCGACGGGGACUUUUCCUUUUUUUAAUUAGCCAGCUGUUCCACAACCGGACGCACCAUCCAGGAGAGCCGCUGCUCACCUUGCAGCUUGCAGGCACAUGUGCAGGCCGUGCUGGGGGUGGCAGCGGACGGCCAAGGUAAACACGGCGACGGCGUCAAAGGCCGAACCACCGCCCGAGCAGGACGACUGCAGUGCGGGCGACCCGGGAAUGAACGGGAAGGGCGUUGCUGUGCCCGGCAGCGGCCUUUUACCCAGGGAGGGCUGAACAGGCUCGUGACCAAAGCACACAGUGUCAGGGAUGGGUUCGGAAAGCUCUAUGCACAGUUUAGAUGUGCCCAAAGAAUUACUUCUUGAGACGUUUCAUCUAAGAUUUCGAUCCCAAGAUGAGAUAGUAGCUAUUUGCAAUGAAUAAAUAAAUAAACAGGGGAUACGAAAAUGAAUGAAAAGACACAAAAGUAGUAAAUGCUUGAUUUUUUCCCCCUUUUUUAAUACUGAUUGCACAAAUAAAGG